rnacentral:tRNA from 2 species
GCGGGGUUGCCUGAGUGUCCAAAAGGCGGGGACUGCAAAUCCUUGGUUCACAGGUUCAAAUCCUGUACCCGACUCGA